rnacentral:rRNA from 1 species
UUAAAUUGAAGAGUUUGAUCAUGGCUCAGAUUGAACGCUGGCGGCAGGCCUAACACAUGCAAGUCGAACGGUAACAGGAAGAAGCUUGCUUCUUUGCUGACGAGUGGCGGACGGGGGAGUAAUGUCUGGGAAACUGCCUGAUGGAGGGGGAUAACUACUGGAAACGGUAGCUAAUACCGCAUAACGUCGCAAGACCAAAGAGGGGGACCUUCGGGCCUCUUGCCAUCGGAUGUGCCCAGAUGGGAUUAGCUAGUAGGUGGGGUAACGGCUCACCUAGGCGACGAUCCCUAGCUGGUCUGAGAGGAUGACCAGCCACACUGGAACUGAGACACGGUCCAGACUCCUACGGGAGGCAGCAGUGGGGAAUAUUGCACAAUGGGCGCAAGCCUGAUGCAGCCAUGCCGCGUGUAUGAAGAAGGCCUUCGGGUUGUAAAGUACUUUCAGCGGGGAGGAA